CAGUAGCCGCGGUAAUACGUAGGUGGCAAGCGUUGUCCGGAAUUAUUGGGCGUAAAGGGCUCGCAGGCGGUUUCUUAAGUCAGAUGUGAAAGCCCCCGGCUCAACCGGGGAGGGUCAUUGGAAACUGGGAAACUUGAGUGCAGAAGAGGAGAGUGGAAUUCCACGUGUAGCGGUGAAAUGCGUAGAGAUGUGGAGGAACACCAGUGGCGAAGGCGACUCUCCGGUCUGUAACUGACGCUGAGGAGCGAAAGCGUGGGGAGCGAACAGGAUUAGAUACCCGCGUAGUCCCUGUCUCUUAUAC
rnacentral:rRNA from 1 species